UCUGCCCUGCAUUGGCCUUGACCACAUGA
rnacentral:piRNA from 1 species